CCUACGGGAGGCAGCAGUGGGGAAUAUUGCACAAUGGGGGAACACCUGAUGCAGCAACGCCGCGUUAAGGAAGACGGUUUUCGGAUUGUAAACUUCUGUUCUUAGUGAAGAAUAAUGACGGUAGCUAAGGAGCAAGCCACGGCUAACUACGUGCCAGCAGCCGCGGUAAUACGUAGGUGGCAAGCGUUGUCCGGAUUUACGGGGUGUAACGGGCGUGCAGCCGGGAAGACAAUUCAGAUUUUAAAGCCCGCGGCUCAACCGCGGAACUGCAUUUGAAACUGUUUUUCUUGAGUACCGGAGAGGUCAUCGGAAUUCCUUGUGUAGCGGUGAAAUGCGUAGAUAUCAGGAAGAACACCAGUGGCGAAGGCGGAUGACUGGACGGCAACUGCCGGUGAGGCGCGAAAGCGUGGGUAGCAAACAGGAUUAGAUACCCGGGUAGUC
rnacentral:rRNA from 1 species